rnacentral:rRNA from 1 species
CACGCUGUAAACGAUGAGUGCUAGAUGUUGGGGGUCACACCUCGGUAUCGCCGUUAACACAUUAAGCACUCCGCCUGGGGAGUACGUGCGCAAGCAUGAAACUCAAAGGAAUUGACGGGGACCCGCACAAGCAGCGGAGCAUGUGGUUUAAUUCGAAGCAACGCGAAGAACCUUACCAGGCCUUGACAUCCCCUGACCGUCAUGGAAACAUGGCUUCUCUUCGGAGCAGGGAGACAGGUGG